rnacentral:rRNA from 1 species
AUUGAACGCUGGCGGCAGGCUUAACACAUGCAAGUCGAGCGAGCGGCGGACGGGUGAGUAAUGUCUGGGAAACUGCCUGAUGGAGGGGGAUAACUACUGGAAACGGUAGCUAAUACCGCAUACCAUCAGAUGUGCCCAGAUGGGAUUAGCUAGUAGGUGGGGUAAUGGCUCACCUAGGCGACGAUACCUAGCUGGUCUGAGAGGAUGACCAGCUACUCUGUAACUGGGACACGGUCCAGACGCCGACGGGAGGCAGGAGGGGGGAAUAUGGCACAAUGGGUGCAAGCCUGAUGCAGCCAGGGCGCGUGUGUGAAGAAGGCCUGCGGGUUGUAAAGCACUUUCAGCUAGGAGGCGUUACUCGCAGAAGGGGCACCGGCUAACGCCGUGCGAGCAGCCGCGGUAAUAC